rnacentral:rRNA from 1 species
AUUGAACGCUGGCGGCAGGCCUAACACAUGCAAGUCGAGCGGGGUUUUCGGACCUAGCGGCGGACGGGUGAGUAAUGCGUAGGAAGCUACCCGAUAGAGGGGGAUACCAGUUGGAAACGACUGUUAAUACCGCAUAAUGUCUACGGACCAAAGUGUGGGACCUUCGGGCCACAUGCUAUCGGAUGCGCCUACGUGGGAUUAGCUAGUUGGGGAGGUAAUGGCUCACCAAGGCGACGAUCCCUAGCUGGUUUGAGAGGAUGAUCAGCCACACUGGAACUGAUACACGGUCCAGACUCCUACGGGAGGCAGAAUUGGGGAAGAUUGGACAAUGGGCGCAAGCCUGAUCCAGCCAUGCCGCGUGUGUGAAGAAGGCCUUCGGGUUGUAAAGCACUUUCAGUAGGGAGGAAGCGUUGUGUGUUAAUAGUACACAGCGUUGACGUUACCUACAGAAGAAGCACCGGCUAACUCUGUGCCAGCCGCCGCCGUAAGAC